AAUCACGACUUCCCAUCUCUUUUUUGUUUUAAUAUCAUAUACAGCGGUUCCUCCCACUCCAACUUCAACUUCUUCUAUUUCUCCGUCUACUACUUUUCAAAAUCCUACUUCUUCGCCUUCUACUGCUUCUCCAAUCCCUACUACUUCUUCGCCUUCUACUACUUCUCUUUCUACUUCUUCUCCUCAUAUCCUUACACCACCCUGCACGUAUUUUUGUAAGAUGUGUCCUACCAUCCAGUGGAUGUUAGUGUCUUUACUCUGCUCUAACACGUUGGGUUGGAUCUCUGUGGCUCUCAUCUAUAACUUCGACAAACCCACCAAGACAGAUCCGAUGACAUACAUCCAGAACACUCCAACGGAUCAUCAAGAUACUCUUUCUACCCAGAGGGAAAGCCAGAAUGAAUGUACUUCAGGAGAAUCUACGCUACCCCAACCCCAUCAGAUGGUCGAAAGUACGACACUGUUAU